CUGCGCAGACCACGUGAACCAUGUGUUGCCGUGCACAUAAUUGAAUUUUUGGAGGGUUAGCAGCUUUCUCUGUAGUAUGUUUAUCUAACAUAGUCUCGUCAUAACGUAAUAACAAGCGAGCUCAGUUCUGCGGAUUUCCGUACGGUUUCAAGGUGUUUUGUGAUAGUGAUAAGGAAAAAUUGUCCAAAAUCGACACGCACAAUGGGUAGCUUUUUCUCGCAUCCCACUGGAACGGAAGUGCUGAAGAAGAAUCAGGAGUACAUUUCGGAAAUGAACAAAAUUAAAAUGGAACGUUGGAUCCAAAUGCAUUACCAGAUCAAAGAAAGGGAAUCUGCGAUGGAGAUUUCCCGAGCACGGGAACUUUUCUACUGGAUUGCGUCAUUCUAUUGUGUUUCUACGGUUGGCUUGAUUGGUCGCUUCAAUAUCACCCGACGGCCAGGAGCGCUAACACCAAUUGUGCCGUUAACAUUCCUAGUGGCUUACUAUGCGGAUCUUGCUUACGGGACGAAAGUUCAUCGAAUCAUUGCCGAGGCGGAAAUGAUAAUGCAGCACGAGCCAGAACUGCUGGAGUGGCCCAGUGGGUUGCCCACAGUGUCGGAAAUAGACUCUGCUCGAUUGGAGAACGAUGAUAAGAUUCGUCUGCAUCCACACCAAAUGUAAAAAGGGAGAGAGGACUUGAGUGCUCAAACAAAAACAUAAGAAUGGCUUAUGUGUAUACUAAUGACACAUUCAUGUUAUAGCACAACAUACACGAGUGUCGUGCUGCCAACAGUAUUGAAAAUCGAUUUUAAUAAUAGCGAAAGAGUUAGGGGUUUACACGUUUAUUCGAUAAGCGACAGGACGGGGGGAGAAUUUACUAUGCAUGACGCAAUAAUGUUUAUAUCGUAUUUUUUACUUCUCCCAGCCACAGACCCGAUUCCGAUUAUGAUUUCCGAUUCAUAUCCGAUUGUAGAAUAUUUAUAAGGGUGCACCUUUACUCUACAAGUAUAAAUUAAUGAAUAAAUGAAAUGAAACACUGACACUGUGGGCCAUGACAAUAUCACCUCGCUAUCGUUGAAAUGAUGAUUUUCAGUAGUAAUGAUAUUCUAUGGAAUUGCGGCCAUCUUACUAACCCCCUCCACUAUCUAAAUCACCUUUGUUUCUAAACAUUAGGCCACAUGAACACAAAAAAGUCAGACACAAAAGUCAGCUUUACUUUACGUCAAUCAAGCAGUCGAGCAGUUUAAGCAGUUGUUUAGGUUAGAUUGUGCUGUCUUAGUAAUAUUUAUAUUUUGGAUUUUUAGGCGUUAUUGGUAUUUAUUUAAAGAAAGAGAUUUAAUUGAACGAACAAACUUCAGAUUUUUUUUCUUCGACUUCAUUCAAUUUUACUAGUUAUUUAACACAGCUUCCUCAAAACAGAAUUAUUGAUUCUUGGUCUGCGAGACCGUAUGCGCGAUUAUAGGGGGAUAAUGAAAAUUUAUCAGAAAUUGGACGAACUCCGCUGGAGCAAUUGGAUUUUUUUUCAGCUUCAGGCAAAAGGCAAGGGACAAGGAGAACAAAAAUUGGUAUCAGGAACAAAGUGAACAGAAGUUGGCAUCAGAAGUGUUAGUUCUGUUAGUUUCAAAUUCUCGCGUAACACAAGAAAAAAGGAAUACCAAAUAUUGAAUAAUCCUAUGGAAACAAUCCGGCAAUGACAGAUGAUAACUUUUUCAUGAGUAAUUGAAUUGCAUAACUUCAUCUCCUCAUCUAUCAAAGUAAUCUUUAAAACUCAUAUCGUUGAAACUAAAUCGAAACAUUCCACAUUUACGAGUGUUCCCCGAAUUCUAUCCAUUCUAAAAGUAACGAAAUACCAUUAUACAAUAAGAUUUGUGCAUUGAUCAGUAAUGUUUUCAAACAUUAUCAAUAUUUCAAGUUAGUAAACAUUUUUGAUAACUUAUUACCAAAGGACGAUGUAUUUGAAACGAACAAAACAUAUUAAUGUUGAAUUAAAACAAUGAAUCGUAAACGAUGUUAUACCAUGUUAU